UACGAAGGGGGCUAGCGUUGCUCGGAAUCACUGGGCGUAAAGCGCACGUAGGCGGAUCUUUAAGUCAGAGGUGAAAUCCCAAGGCUCAACCUUGGAACUGCCUUUGAUACUGGGGAUCUUGAGUCCGGGAGAGGUGAGUGGAACUGCGAGUGUAGAGGUGAAAUUCGUAGAUAUUCGCAAGAACACCAGUGGCGAAGGCGGCUCACUGGCCCGGUACUGACGCUGAGGUGCGAAAGCGUGGGGAGCAAACAGGG
rnacentral:rRNA from 1 species